GAAAGUUGAAAAGUACUCUGAAUAGAGAGUUAAAUAGUACGUGAAACCGCUUAGGGAUUAAGCCCGAUGAACCUGAAUAUCCGAAUUGGGAAAUUCAAUACUAUUUUAGUAGCUUAUUCUGAAACCGGUGGCGGUAACAGGGCAAUAAGCAAAACAAUGGUAUGCACUUUUCCCAUUGUAGGACAUUGCGAUCCAUUAAUUUUAAUUUAGCAAAAGGCCCAAACGAUUUGUUCGUUCUGUCUGUGCUGGCUUUUGGUUGGCAUAUGAAUGAAGUCGUAAUUAUGGUGUCCUGCUAAAUAAUUGAUGGAGCUUAACGAUCAUGCCAAAUACACGCCAAGUGUUAUCACGGUUUUUUGUUCGCUUGCGAACAUAAGCGCAGUGAUCGCAUGUAUAUGAUCAGCGAUGCGUUAGAUUUGGGAUACCUUCGGGACCCGUCUUGAAACACGGACCAAGAAGUCUAACAUGUGUGCAAGUCAUUGGGUAUAUAUUGAUGAAACCUAAAGGCGUAAUUAAAAUGACUAUUAUUUUAUAAUGGGAUUACAAGUGAAAUUAAUUGAUGCGUAAGUAUUUAUUAAUAUUGCUUCUCCAUCCCGGGGCAUUCUAUACGAACAUGGUUAAAGCAAUUUGGCCCUCUGUUCAAGAGCGUACCUUGAGCAUACAUGCUGUGACCCGAAAGAUGGUGAACUAUACCUGACCAGGUUGAAGUCAGGGGAAACCCUGAUGGAGGACUGAAGCAGUUCUGACGUGCAAAUCGAUUGUCAGAGUUAGGUAUAGGGGCGAAAGACCUAUCGAACCAUCUAGUAGCUGGUUCCCUCCGAAGUUUCCCUCAGGAUAGCUGGCGCUCGAUCGUCGCAAUUCCAUCCGGUAAAGCGAACGAUUGGAGGCCCCGGGGACGUUCACGUCCUCGACCUACUCUCGAACUCGGAACGGGUGGAACGGGUCGACUCUCCCGAAUAACGGAGCCGUCCCAUUGAUUCCCCUCGCAAGAGGGUGAGUCUCUUCGAAUGCGAGUGCCAAGUGGGCCACUUUUGGUAAGCAGAACUGGCGCUGUGGGAUGAACCAAACGUCCGGCUAAGGUGCCUAACGCGACGCCCAUGAGAUCCCCGAAAGGGUGUCGGUCGAUAUAGACAGCAGGACGGUGGCCACGGAAGUCGGAAUCCGCUAAGGAGUGUGUAACAACUCACCUGCCGAAUCGACCGGCCCCGAAAAUGGAUGGCGCUGGAGCGACGGACCGAUGCCGGACCGUCGCGGCGAGGAGCGUGUCUUGACGCGCCAAACCGAUGCCGCGACGAGUAGGAGGGCGCCGCGGUGUGCACGGAAGCCUAGGGCGUGAGCCCGGGUGGAGCCGACCGCGGGUGCAGAUCUCGGUGGUAGUAGCAAAUAUUCGAACGAGACCUUCGAAGACCGAAGUGGAGAAGGGUUCCGUGCCAACGGCGGUCGAGCACGGGUCAGUCGGUCCUAAGACGCGGGCGAAAGUCUUCCCGAAAGGCGCCGGAUCCGUAACUGUUAUUAACGUCUAACUAUUAUUAACGUGUGCGCGGCCGGCCUCCCGUCGAAAGGGAAUCGGGUUAAUAUUCCCGAACCCGGACUCGGAGAGGGCCCGUGGGUGACGACGCUGCUUCGGUGGUGCCUGUCGCUUCACGGGCGAAACCGCGGUGACGCAAGCGAGCCCGGAGACGUCGCCGGGAGCCCCGGGAAGAGUUCUCUCUUCUUCGUAAAGGACCAUGUCCGUGGAAUCGGCUCGUCCGGAGAUACGGAAAAGGUACCUGUAGAGCGCCGCGGCUCGGGCGGCGUCCGGUGCGCUUUCGGCGGCCCUGGAAAAUCCGGGUCCGGUUUUCGCAGCUCUCGAGCCGGUCCGUACCCACCAUCCGCAGCAGGUCUCCAAGGUGUACAGCCUCUCGUCGAUGGCAUCAAUGUAGGUAAGGGAAGUCGGCAAAAUGGAUCCGUACCUUCGGAAGAAGGAUUGGCUCCGAGGACCGGGUCGGUCGGGCCGUGUCGUGCGAAGCGAGGAACCGGUACGGGGCUGUAGCGUUCGCUCCGUUCGCGCUUUGCGGCCGGGAAUAGGGCCGUUUGCGGGAUCAGCGGUUGUGUGGGCGGGGAACCGACGCCGGCCACGCGGGUCGCGCGGUGAGUCGGGGGGCAACUCCUUUCUCCUGCGUGGCUCGUCGCGGUGUUCGUUCUUUCUCCGUUCAUCUCGCGACUCUGCGGGCGGUACCUCCUGGUUGCUACCGGCGCGUCGGUCGGUGAGCAAAACGGCUCCUCGCCCGGGUCUCCGUGGAGCGCCACGGCUUCCAGCCCCUCUUCUGGUGCGAGUUCUGCCUUCACGGGCGGAGCAAGUGCUAGUUGCUCAGCGCCUCACGGCGUGGGGGCGUUCGUCCGGCAGCGAACGGUCAACUCGGAACUGGUACGGACCGGGGGAAUCCGACUGUCUAAUUAAAACAAAGCAUCGUGUGGCCGGUCGACCCGUACAGACACGAUGUGAUUUCUGCCCAGUGCUCUG
rnacentral:rRNA from 1 species